rnacentral:lncRNA from 10 species
ACCCCAUCUCUACUAAAAAUACAAAAAUUAGCCGGGCUUGGUGGUGAGCACCUGUAAUCCCACCCUGCCGAGUGGCAGGCUGAGGCAGGAGAAUCGCUUGAGCCCAAGAGCCGGAGGUUGCAGUGAGCCAAGCUUGCACCAUUGCACUCCAGCCUAGGCAACAGAGUGUGACUCCAUCUCAAGAAAAAAAAAAUUCUAUUUCAUUUUACAAUAUGCAGAUAUAUGUCCAUACACAUGCAUAAUAUAAAUGUAUACCAUAUUUGUGAGAAUAUGCAUAUAUGUACACAUUAGAUACACAAUACAAGCACAAUACAUAUGUCUUUUGCCCAAGAUACAGCAUUUUGUAAAGGAGACAGGAAUUUAGUAAUAUAUGUUCCAGAAACAGUACACAAGAGAAUUCGCCGAGAUGAGAAAGUUGUCACUAGGAAUGGGGAGUGGUAAGAUGUAGAAGGUAUAAUUGUUCUUAAAGUUCUACUGCCAACUCUUUCCAAUUAAUUACCCACUCUGCCAUGCUUUAUGGACAGGAGGUUGUCGGACACUGUCAAUUAAUAAAUAUUUGAGCAUGAUACACUGCUUGGAGCUCCUCUAAUAUAGGAGAGUGAUAUCCUAGUGCAUGUUACAGAGGGAGUGUCCACACAGUUCCUAUUGUCAUUUGAUGAGUUACUUUUCAGGGGCCUUGUACCUGAGCAAGUUGUCCUCUUUUUGAUGGAUUUCAGAUUGAGUUACCUGCAUUGUCUUGAGAUUGCAGCGUGUUUCCUCCACUGUACGGCGUAGUCAGCAGAUCUAUUAGUUAAACUCCAGUGGGCCCUCAGUCACUAAAUCUAUCCUCUGUGUUGAAGGCUUUCUGCAUUUGCCUUUCAAUAAAGGUUUAGAAUAACUCC